UAUGAAUAAAAGAUUUAUCGGUAAAGGAUGGGGAUGCGUCUGAUUAGCUUGUUGGUGAGGUAAAGGCUCACCAAGGCGACGAUCAGUAGGGGUUCUGAGAGGAAGGUCCCCCACAUUGGAACUGAGACACGGUCCAAACUCCUACGGGAGGCAGCAGUGAGGAAUAUUGGUCAAUGGACGGAAGUCUGAACCAGCCAAGUAGCGUGCAGGAAGACGGCCCUAUGGGUUGUAAACUGCUUUUAUACGAGAAUAAUUUGAUGCACGUGUGCGUUAUUGCAUGUAUCGUAUGAAUAAGGACCGGCUAAUUCCGUGCCAGCAGCCGCGGUAAUACGGAAGGUCCAGGCGUUAUCCGGAUUUAUUGGGUUUAAAGGGAGUGUAGGCGGUUUGUUAAGCGUGUUGUGAAAUUUAGGUGCUCAACAUUUAACUUGCAGCGCGAACUGUCAGACUUGAGUACACGCAACGUAUGCGGAAUUCAUGGUGUAGCGGUGAAAUGCUUAGAUAUCAUGAAGAACUCCGAUUGCGAAGGCAGCAUACGGGAGUGUAACUGACGCUUAAGCUCGAAGGUGCGGGUAUCGAACAGGAUUAGAUACCCUGGUAG
rnacentral:rRNA from 1 species